UUGCCCCCCAAAACAGGGAGGUUAAUUUUGCUUUUACCCUGUGCAAUUCACUGCAGGGUUGCUUCAUUUGGGUGUUUGGAACACUCCUGGACAAAAAGGUACGAUCAGAAACUAUAAAGUAUCUGAGCUCCCAGGAUAAGUUGGCGACUGGUUCAUGAUGUCACACUGCUUCAUGAGUCUUCAUGUGCCGGAGGAGUUCCUCUGUGAGAAGAUUGUUUAACCAUUUUCAUCACCCCUCAUGUUUUGACAUUUCAUUUGGUUUAUUGGAUUCCAAGAUUGUAAGUUGACAGGACUUCAGCUAAUUGGCCAAUUUAUACCCUUUUGGCCUGUUGGUUCCUGUCAGAUCUGGGAAAGUCUGACUUUUUCUCUUCUUGUUCUCCACUGAACUACGUUGGGAGCCAUAUGUGUGUUUUCACACGUUGUAGUCCAGUAGACUCGGUUUGACUGGGAACCAAAAUUGCCACAUUUGUUAUACUUUCAGCUGCUGGGUUUCACUUUCACACUGCACUGUCAAAUGAACCAAACCCUUUGAAAAAACUGAUCCCCUCCUCGCCUUUGGUGGUGUUGCACCGAGAACCACUGAGGCAAAUCCCUUUUUUAUAAAAUGUAAACAAAAAUGUAUUAGAUUUUAGCAGUUGUAUUUCUCUUUUGUCUUUGGUA